UCCCUGGUGGUUCAGUGGGUAAAGAAUCUGCCUGCAAUGCAGGAGAACCAAGUUCGAUUCCUGGUUUGGGAA
rfam:TPA: Bos taurus chromosome 28, whole genome shotgun sequence.